rnacentral:rRNA from 1 species
ACGAACGCUGGCGGCGUGCUUAACACAUGCAAGUCGAGCGGUAAGGCCCUUCGGGGUACACGAGCGGCGAACGGGUGAGUAACACGUGGGUGAUCUGCCUCGCACUCUGGGAUAAGCCUGGGAAACUGGGUCUAAUACCGGAUAUGACCUUACAUCGCAUGGUGUUUGGUGGAAAGAUUUAUCGGUGCGAGAUGGGCCCGCGGCCUAUCAGCUUGUUGGUGGGGUAAUGGCCUACCAAGGCGACGACGGGUAGCCGGCCUGAGAGGGCGACCGGCCACACUGGGACUGAGACACGGCCCAGACUCCUACGGGAGGCAGCAGUGGGGAAUAUUGCACAAUGGGCGAAAGCCUGAUGCAGCGACGCCGCGUGAGGGAUGACGGCCUUCGGGUUGUAAACCUCUUUCGACAGGGACGAAGCGCAAGUGACGGUACCUGUAGAAGAAGCACCGGCCAACUACGUGCCAGCAGCCGCGGUAAUACGUAGGGUGCGAGCGUUGUCCGGAAUUACUGGGCGUAAAGAGCUUGUAGGCGGCUUGUCGCGUCGAUCGUGAAAACUUGGGGCUCAACCCCAAGCUUGCGGUCGAUACGGGCAGGCUUGAGUACUUCAGGGGAGACUGGAAUUCCUGGUGUAGCGGUGAAAUGCGCAGAUAUCAGGAGGAACACCGGUGGCGAAGGCGGGUCUCUGGGAAGUAACUGACGCUGAGAAGCGAAAGCGUGGGUAGCGAACAGGAUUAGAUACCCUGGUAGUCCACGNCGUAAACGGUGGGUACUAGGUGUGGGUUUCCUUCCACGGGAUCCGUGCCGUAGCUAACGCAUUAAGUACCCNGCCUGGGGAGUACGGCCGCAAGGCUAAAACUCAAAGGAAUUGACGGGGGCCCGCACAAGCGGCGGAGCAUGUGGAUUAAUUCGAUGCAACGCGAAGAACCUUACCUGGGUUUGACAUACACCGGAAACCUGCAGAGAUGUAGGCCCCCUUGUGGUCGGUGUACAGGUGGUGCAUGGCUGUCGUCAGCUCGUGUCGUGAGAUGUUGGGUUAAGUCCCGCAACGAGCGCAACCCUUAUCUUAUGUUGCCAGCGCGUAAUGGCGGGGACUCGUGAGAGACUGCCGGGGUCAACUCGGAGGAAGGUGGGGACGACGUCAAGUCAUCAUGCCCCUUAUGUCCAGGGCUUCACACAUGCUACAAUGGCCGGUACAGAGGGCUGCGAUACCGUGAGGUGGAGCGAAUCCCUUAAAGCCGGUCUCAGUUCGGAUCGGGGUCUGCAACUCGACCCCGUGAAGUUGGAGUCGCUAGUAAUCGCAGAUCAGCAACGCUGCGGU